rnacentral:lncRNA from 1 species
AGCACGGUAAGAUCACUGACAUUCAGGACAUCACAAACCCGUUGCUAUAUGUGAUUGGUAUGUGGUGUUUACUCUCAAUGAAGGUGACCUUGUGCUCUUUUGCACACAUGGUUCGGUUUGUCUCAAUGUUACAAAGCUCUAUUUCGGUAAAGUGGGAUUUAUUCAGUAAAAUGGGACUAGGUACAAAUUUUCAAGUAUUUGAAAAUGACGUGAAAUUAUAUGUUUUUUGUCCAGGGGCUAGACAUAUCUGGGGCAUGGUGACUAGCGCGGUGACUUUGUG